AAAACAUCUCUUUUUGAUUAAAAUAUUAAGUUGACUCUGCCCAAUGAUUUAUUUAAUGGCUGCAGUAUUUUAACUGUACAAAGGUAGCAUAAUCAAUUGUUUUUUAAAUGAAAUCUAGAAUGAAUGAGGUGAUGAAAUAUAUACUUUAUUAAAUUUAUAUUUUGAAUUUAUAUUUAAAGUAAAAAUACUUUAAUAAUUUUAAGGGACGAGAAGACCCUAUAGAAUUUUAUAUAAAUAAUUUUUAUUAAUAUAAGAAAAAUUAUAAUAUAUUUAUUUGGGAGGAAUAUUAAAAUUAAUAAACUUUAAUAAAUUAAUUACAUUGAUUAGUGUAUUUUAAAAUUUUAUAAAUUAAGUUUAAAAUUAAAUUACCUUAGGGAUAACAGCGUAAUAUUUUUUUAAAGAUCUUAUUAAAAAAAAUGUUU
rnacentral:rRNA from 1 species